CCCAGGCGGCUCCGCAGCUCCUUCAGUGCCCCGAGCCCGCGCACAGCGACAGCGCCCAGCCCGCCACGGCCCCGACACACGGCUGCCAGCCUGCCUGCUGCGGGACACAGCCGCCACACACAGCCCGCCACGGCCCCGACACACGGCUGCCAGCCUGCCUGCUGCGGGACACAGCCGCCACACACAGCCCGCCACUGCUCUCGCUCCCUCUGCCCCCUCUGCCUCGCACCCAACUGUUGCGGCCGCAGCCUCUGCCAUCGCCUUCCACCCUCCGCCCAUAGCUGCUGCUGCUCUCAGCCUGCUUUACAAAGCAAAGAGCUGCUCCGGGAGAGCAUCUUUCCUAUGAGCUGACAAAGCUGCUGCGCUGACAGGAACACAGGGGCUAAUUCAGUUCGUUCUGUCACUUCGGUAUACCAGUCAUGACAUGAGAGAGAUUUGCAGUGAGGUUUUCUGAGGUAUUAAAGGAUUCUCCAACUGUGUCCUUGCACAAGUAUCUCUGUGCCAUAUUGGAAGGUGCAUUAUAAGUAGCAUUCUCAAAUGGACGCAUAAUGAAGGUGUAAUUUAAAUCCCCCUGAAGUAUGAAUACACUUCCCUUCUGUAUAUAUUGUUCUAAAGCUCAGGUUUCCCAAGGACGCAUGGAUUCCCCUUAAAAACCUUGGUGAGAUAGCAGCAUGUCUGGUGGGUGAAACAAUAAAUCUGCUAAAGUACAGGAGCCUUCCAAAUAAUCAGAAAUCUCCAUCACACCAACCCUUAAUUUUAAACUGAUUUUCCUUGGCAUUAGUAACUGUCUAACAUCCCGAAGAACAAAUACCAGAAUUUAGCAAUGCUGCACGUGUUGGAAGAAGUCAUUUUAAGGACUGAGCAAUUCAUAAGGUUGCACUCCACAGACUCUCUCUGGACACCCCAUUUCCUUUAGGGUCAGGAGCCGUUCAGCAUCUUCAGGAACUCAUUGCAAUGAGCAAGUGCAGCAGAGGCCACAGCCAGGCCAUGUAAAAGGUCAGAGUGUCUCGUUCUCUACGGCUCACAUCACGUCCAUUUUCAUUCCCAGUGGUGGAUCUAGGACAAGGCAAAGUGAUUACCAAAGCACACAACGACCCCGUUGUAGGAACAGGUGAUAAUGGAGUGAAAAGGGCGGUUCCGAGCUCAUCAACGUCUAAUUGAUGAGCCUUUAGAAACCAGGUUCUCUGUCUGUGAAUUGGCUCAAGCUGAGCUUUGUCCAUGACAAAGGGUUAGAGAUGAUGAGAGAAGACACGGGAGUCCCCGGAAAGGAGAGACUGCAGUGCUGUGUCUCUGGGAUCACCAAGCAUGGUUGCAGGUUUCUCUUCUCAGUACAGCUGCUGGGAACAAUGCUCGUCUCCCUGGACAUGUCUUACCUUUUUGUGUCUUCUCUAAAGCUUGAGAAGGCACAGUGUGCGAAGACAACGGGCGAAGGACAAGCUUUCACCUGAAAAUCUAUGACAGCCUCAGGACCCUUCAUUUUCUAUGAACCCCGUUCUAAACCGUGGAGCCGCGCAACACCUGCAUGAGAAUGUUCCAAUUACACACAUUAUCAUUUUUCACGUAAUUCCAGAUAGCAUUCUAUGACAAACUCGUUUUAGAGGAAAUGAAAAUGACCGGAAUGGGAUCACUGUAGAGUUGAAACGGAAAAGAGGGUGGCAGUGAGGGACCUGGGAGAGAGGCAUUUGUCCCAGGCAGAUGAAAAAGGGCAGGGCAGAAGGGGCACAGACACACGAGUCCCCUGUUCCCAGAGGAAAUUGCAAUGAGCCCAGACAGCUGAGAAAGCUCAGUGGGGAAGAAGCCGCUGAGCUCGCCAAUGGGCAGCACGGGGUGUGCAGCAGAGCUGGCGAUUGCAGCUGCGGAGGUGAGGAGUGCAGUGCGAGCUGAGCGGGAAGAGCCCCUUGCCAUGGCUGAGGCCGCAGAGGCACGGAAUGCUCCGAAUGCCAGUGGCUGAGGGAGCCACGGCGGCUGCUGCUGGACGAGCGAGAAACGCAGCAGGAGCAUUUCAGGCACGGCAAGGACAGGCCAUUGCUCUGCCUGCUGCCGCUGCUGCUCCCGCUGCUCCCGCACACAGUCGUUUCCGGCACCUCUGUUCUCUCGCCGCUGCGACGUGCUUUCUGCCUCUUCCUCACUCAGCAAACACGCAGCUUGCUCUCGCCAUGCACCUCGCACAUCUCAUCCUCACCGUCUUCCUGGCACAGCUCCUCGGUACCACGGGGCAGAUCACGGUCAGCCAGGAAGAUGCACAAGUCACAGUGAAGCAGGGACACCCCUUCCACACCACCUGCAAAUACCAGACAAGUAUUAAUGCCUUGCUCUGGUACCAGCUGCGGAAAGGCCAAGCCCCCCAGCUGGUCUCCUAUCAAUCAGGGACUGGCCCCAGGCACAGCGGCCGGAUCACCACGCACCUGAACACCACGGGCAAAUACAGUGUCCUGAAGGUGGAGGAAGUGCAGGUGUCUGACAGUGCCUUGUACCUGUGUGCUGUGCAAGACACCCUGGUGCAGGGAGCUUGCUCGGCUGUGCAAUAACCCAGGGGAGGGAGGGGAUGUGUCAGUGCAAGGUUGAGCUUGGGAAAGGGAUGUAGUUCUCACCCCAAUGCUUACCACAACUUGCACCCCAUGUGUGUACAAUGGUCUGAUGGAUUUCAUUACUUCCAUUCUGACACUUCCUUUCGGAAAAUAUACUGGACAA